rnacentral:rRNA from 1 species
AUAAUGGGUCAGCGACUUAUAUUCUGUAGCAAGGUUAACCGAAUAGGGGAGCCGAAGGGAAACCGAGUCUUAACUGGGCGUUAAGUUGCAGGGUAUAGACCCGAAACCCGGUGAUCUAGCCAUGGGCAGGUUGAAGGUUGGGUAACACUAACUGGAGGACCGAACCGACUAAUGUUGAAAAAUUAGCGGAUGACUUGUGGCUGGGGGUGAAAGGCCAAUCAAACCGGGAGAUAGCUGGUUCUCCCCGAAAGCUAUUUAGGUAGCGCCUCGUGAAUUCAUCUCCGGGGGUAGAGCACUGUUUCGGCAAGGGGGUCAUCCCGACUUACCAACCCGAUGCAAACUGCGAAUACCGGAGAAUGUUAUCACGGGAGACACACGGCGGGUGCUAACGUCCGUCGUGAAGAGGGAAACAACCCAGACCGCCAGCUAAGGUCCCAAAGUCAUGGUUAAGUGGGAAACGAUGUGGGAAGGCCCAGACAGCCAGGAUGUUGGCUUAGAAGCAGCCAUCAUUUAAAGAAAGCGUAAUAGCUCACUGGUCGAGUCGGCCUGCGCGGAAGAUGUAACGGGGCUAAACCAUGCACCGAAGCUGCGGCAGCGACGCUGAUGCGUUGUUGGGUAGGGGAGCGUUCUGUAAGCCUGUGAAGGUGUGCUGUGAGGCAUGCUGGAGGUAUCAGAAGUGCGAAUGCUGACAUAAGUAACGAUAAAGCGGGUGAAAAGCCCGCUCGCCGGAAGACCAAGGGUUCCUGUCCAACGUUAAUCGGGGCAGGGUGAGUCGACCCCUAAGGCGAGGCCGAAAGGCGUAGUCGAUGGGAAACAGGUUAAUAUUCCUGUACUUGGUGUUACUGCGAAGGGGGGACGGAGAAGGCUAUGUUGGCCGGGCGACGGUUGUCCCGGUUUAAGCGUGUAGGCUGGUUUUCCAGGCAAAUCCGGAAAAUCAAGGCUGAGGCGUGAUGACGAGGCACUACGGUGCUGAAGCAACAAAUGCCCUGCUUCCAGGAAAAGCCUCUAAGCAUCAGGUAACAUCAAAUCGUACCCCAAACCGACACAGGUGGUCAGGUAGAGAAUACCAAGGCGCUUGAGAGAACUCGGGUGAAGGAACUAGGCAAAAUGGUGCCGUAACUUCGGGAGAAGGCACGCUGAUAUGUAGGUGAAGCGACUUGCUCGUGGAGCUGAAAUCAGUCGAAGAUACCAGCUGGCUGCAACUGUUUAUUAAAAACACAGCACUGUGCAAACACGAAAGUGGACGUAUACGGUGUGACGCCUGCCCGGUGCCGGAAGGUUAAUUGAUGGGGUCAGCGCAAGCGAAGCUCUUGAUCGAAGCCCCGGUAAACGGCGGCCGUAACUAUAACGGUCCUAAGGUAGCGAAAUUCCUUGUCGGGUAAGUUCCGACCUGCACGAAUGGCGUAAUGAUGGCCAGGCUGUCUCCACCCGAGACUCAGUGAAAUUGAACUCGCUGUGAAGAUGCAGUGUACCCGCGGCAAGACGGAAAGACCCCGUGAACCUUUACUAUAGCUUGACACUGAACAUUGAGCCUUGAUGUGUAGGAUAGGUGGGAGGCUUUGAAGUGUGGACGCCAGUCUGCAUGGAGCCGGCCUUGAAAUACCACCCUUUAAUGUUUGAUGUUCUAACGUUGACCCGUGAUCCGGGUUGCGGACAGUGUCUGGUGGGUAGUUUGACUGGGGCGGUCUCCUCCUAAAGAGUAACGGAGGAGCACGAAGGUUGGCUAAUCCUGGUCGGACAUCAGGAGGUUAGUGCAAUGGCAUAAGCCAGCUUGACUGCGAGCGUGACGGCGCGAGCAGGUGCGAAAGCAGGUCAUAGUGAUCCGGUGGUUCUGAAUGGAAGGGCCAUCGCUCAACGGAUAAAAGGUACUCCGGGGAUAACAGGCUGAUACCGCCCAAGAGUUCAUAUCGACGGCGGUGUUUGGCACCUCGAUGUCGGCUCAUCACAUCCUGGGGCUGAAGUAGGUCCCAAGGGUAUGGCUGUUCGCCAUUUAAAGUGGUACGCGAGCUGGGUUUAGAACGUCGUGAGACAGUUCGGUCCCUAUCUGCCGUGGGCGCUGGAGAACUGAGGG